GAUGAACGCUGNCGGUAUGCUUAACACAUGCAAGUCGAACGGAGUAGCAAUACUUAGUGGCGGACGGGUGAGUAACGCGUAAGAAUCUAGCUUCAGGUUCGGGACAACAGUUGGAAACGACUGCUAAUACCGGAUGUGCCUACGGGUGAAAGGCUUGCUGCCUGAAGAAGAGCUUGCGUCCGAUUAGCUAGUUGGUAAGGUAAAGGCUUACCAAGGCAUCGAUCGGUAGCUGGUCUGAGAGGAUGACCAGCCACACUGGGACUGAGACAAGGCCCAGACUCCUACGGGAGGCAGCAGUGGGGAAUUUUCCGCAAUGGGCGAAAGCCUGACGGAGCAAUACCGCGUGAGGGAAGAAGGCUCUUGGGUUGUAAACCUCUUUUCUCAGGGAAUAAAAAAAUGAAGGUACCUGAGGAAUAAGCAUCGGCUAACUCCGUGCCAGCAGCCGCGGUAAUACGGAGGAUGCAAGCGUUAUCCGGAAUGAUUGGGCGUAAAGCGUCCGCAGGUGGUACAACAAGUCUAGUGUCAAAGACCGGGGCUCAACCCCGGAAAGGCGGUGGAAACUGUUGAACUAGAGGGUCGUAGGGGUAGAGGGAAUUCCCAGUGUAGCGGUGAAAUGCGUAGAGAUUGGGAAGAACAUCGGUGGCGAAGGCGCUCUACUGGACGGCAACUGACACUCAGGGACGAAAGCUAGGGAGCG
rnacentral:rRNA from 1 species